GGGAGUGAAAAAGAACCUGAAACCGUGUACGUACAAGCAGUGGGAGCACAGAGCAAUCUGUGUGACUGCGUACCUUUUGUAUAAUGGGUCAGCGACUUAUAUUCUGUAGCAAGGUUAACCGAAUAGGGGAGCCGAAGGGAAACCGAGUCUUAACUGGGCGUUAAGUUGCAGGGUAUAGACCCGAAACCCGGUGAUCUAGCCAUGGGCAGGUUGAAGGUUGGGUAACACUAACUGGAGGACCGAACCGACUAAUGUUGAAAAAUUAGCGGAUGACUUGUGGCUGGGGGUGAAAGGCCAAUCAAACCGGGAGAUAGCUGGUUCUCCCCGAAAGCUAUUUAGGUAGCGCCUCGUGAAUUCAUCUCCGGGGGUAGAGCACUGUUUCGGCAAGGGGGUCAUCCCGACUUACCAACCCGAUGCAAACUGCGAAUACCGGAGAAUGUUAUCACGGGAGACACACGGCGGGUGCUAACGUCCGUCGUGAAGAGGGAAACAACCCAGACCGCCAGCUAAGGUCCCAAAGUCAUGGUUAAGUGGGAAACGAUGUGGGAAGGCCCAGACAGCCAGGAUGUUGGCUUAGAAGCAGCCAUCAUUUAAAGAAAGCGUAAUAGCUCACUGGUCGAGUCGGCCUGCGCGGAAGAUGUAACGGGGCUAAACCAUGCACCGAAGCUGCGGCAGCGACACUGUGUGUUGUUGGGUAGGGGAGCGUUCUGUAAGCCUGUGAAGGUGUGCUGUGAGGCAUGCUGGAGGUAUCAGAAGUGCGAAUGCUGACAUAAGUAACGAUAAAGCGGGUGAAAAGCCCGCUCGCCGGAAGACCAAGGGUUCCUGUCCAACGUUAAUCGGGGCAGGGUGAGUCGACCCCUAAGGCGAGGCCGAAAGGCGUAGUCGAUGGGAAACAGGUUAAUAUUCCUGUACUUGGUGUUACUGCGAAGGGGGGACGGAGAAGGCUAUGUUGGCCGGGCGACGGUUGUCCCGGUUUAAGCGUGUAGGCUGGUUUUCCAGGCAAAUCCGGAAAAUCAAGGCUGAGGCGUGAUGACGAGGCACUACGGUGCUGAAGCAACAAAUGCCCUGCUUCCAGGAAAAGCCUCUAAGCAUCAGGUAACAUCAAAUCGUACCCCAAACCGACACAGGUGGUCAGGUAGAGAAUACCAAGGCGCUUGAGAGAACUCGGGUGAAGGAACUAGGCAAAAUGGUGCCGUAACUUCGGGAGAAGGCACGCUGAUAUGUAGGUGAAGUCCCUCGCGGAUGGAGCUGAAAUCAGUCGAAGAUACCAGCUGGCUGCAACUGUUUAUUAAAAACACAGCACUGUGCAAACACGAAAGUGGACGUAUACGGUGUGACGCCUGCCCGGUGCCGGAAGGUUAAUUGAUGGGGUCAGCGCAAGCGAAGCUCUUGAUCGAAGCCCCGGUAAACGGCGGCCGUAACUAUAACGGUCCUAAGGUAGCGAAAUUCCUUGUCGGGUAAGUUCCGACCUGCACGAAUGGCGUAAUGAUGGCCAGGCUGUCUCCACCCGAGACUCAGUGAAAUUGAACUCGCUGUGAAGAUGCAGUGUACCCGCGGCAAGACGGAAAGACCCCGUGAACCUUUACUAUAGCUUGACACUGAACAUUGAGCCUUGAUGUGUAGGAUAGGUGGGAGGCUUUGAAGUGUGGACGCCAGUCUGCAUGGAGCCGACCUUGAAAUACCACCCUUUAAUGUUUGAUGUUCUAACGUGGACCCGUGAUCCGGGUUGCGGACAGUGUCUGGUGGGUAGUUUGACUGGGGCGGUCUCCUCCUAAAGAGUAACGGAGGAGCACGAAGGUUGGCUAAUCCUGGUCGGACAUCAGGAGGUUAGUGCAAUGGCAUAAGCCAGCUUGACUGCGAGCGUGACGGCGCGAGCAGGUGCGAAAGCAGGUCAUAGUGAUCCGGUGGUUCUGAAUGGAAGGGCCAUCGCUCAACGGAUAAAAGGUACUCCGGGGAUAACAGGCUGAUACCGCCCAAGAGUUCAUAUCGACGGCGGUGUUUGGCACCUCGAUGUCGGCUCAUCACAUCCUGGGGCUGAAGUAGGUCCCAAGGGUAUGGCUGUUCGCCAUUUAAAGUGGUACGCGAGCUGGGUUUAGAACGUCGUGAGACAGUUCGGUCCCUAUCUGCCGUGGGCGCUGGAGAACUGAGGGGGGCUGCUCCUAGUACGAGAGGACCGGAGUGGACGCAUCACUGGUGUUCGGGUUGUCAUGCCAAUGGCACUGCCCGGUAGCUAAAUGCGGAAGAGAUAAGUGCUGAAAGCAUCUAAGCACGAAACUUGCCCCGAGAUGAGUUCUCCCUGACCCUUUAAGGGUCCUGAAGGAACGUUGAAGACGACGACGUUGAUAGGCCGGGUGUGUAAGCGCAGCGAUGCGUUGAGCUAACCGGUACUAAUGAACCGUGAGGCUUAACCUUACAACGCCGAAGGUGUUU
rnacentral:rRNA from 1 species